AAUUAGUUGCCAUCACCAAUACACUGCAAACAGUCAAAAUUUCAUUACCAAUAGCAGAAUCCCGUUACUAUUAGUAACAUGGAGCAUAAUACUACAAAAACAUAUCCUAAUCUAUUUGAUAUCAGUCUGUGGUCAUUUCAAAAUGCUCAGAAUGUGUUGGUUUUGAUGGAGUUGUCUACAACACAUUAUGAUUAUCUCACAAUGGCCAUGAAAUAUAAUAAUGUUGAGCAUUGGUGUUUGGUCCUUUGGAACUGGCCACAAUGUGUUAUGGCUAUUUUUUUUAUCAUUGUGCAAUUUCAGUGUUUGGGCAUAAUUAUUAUAU
rnacentral:lncRNA from 1 species